CGCAGGGUUUUAGGUUGGCAUUUGGGUUGCCGUUUGAAGCCAUAUGUUGGUGGACUUGUCAAGGGGUUGGGGAGAGGGUGGAGUGGGGCGCCUGCAUUCUAGGAGGUCUGGACAGGGUUAGGGUGGCGCUGCCAGGUUUGGCUGUUGGAGAGGAGGGAGCAAGGAAUCUGGGCUCGAACCCAGGCGGUUUAUUGGGAGCCGGAUAGGCAGGAUGAGGAGUGAAUGAGGAGCCGAGGCUGGGUGCCAGUGAGGGAGGCCAGCAGGAAGGGGACAGCGAGGUCACAGGCCCUCUGGGAGCUUAAGGGAGGGAGGAGGGGAUGAAGCGAGGUGGGGACACAUCCCGGAGCUCGCCCUCUCCUGUCCUGCAGGAGGUGGACAUCUACACCGUCAAGGUGGAAGACCUGACCUUCACCUCCCCGUUCUGCCUGCAAGUCAAGCGGAAUGACUACGUGCACGCCCUGGUGGCCUACUUCAACAUCGAGUUCACGCGCUGCCACAAGAGGACCGGCUUCUCCACCAGCCCCGAGUCCCCGUACACGCACUGGAAGCAGACGGUGUUCUACAUGGAGGACUACCUGACUGUGAAGACGGGCGAGGAGAUCUUCGGCACCAUCGGCAUGCGGCCCAAUGCCAAGAACAAC
rnacentral:sRNA from 1 species